rnacentral:rRNA from 1 species
ACAUCCAGCGAACUUGGCAGAGAUGGCCUUGGUGCCUUCGGGAACGCUGAGACAGGUGCUGCAUGGCUGUCGUCAGCUCGUGUUGUGAAAUGUUGGGUUAAGUCCCGNAACGAGCGCAACCCUUAUCCUUUGUUGCCAGCGAUUCGGUCGGGAACUCAAAGGAGACUGCCGGUGAUAAACCGGAGGAAGGUGGGGAUGACGUCAAGUCAUCAUGGCCCUUACGAGUAGGGCUACACACGUGCUACAAUGGCGCAUACAAAGAGAAGCGACCUCGCGAGAGCAAGCGGACCUCAUAAAGUGCGUCGUAGUCCGGAUCGGAGUCUGCAACUCGACUCCGUGAAGUCGGAAUCGCUAGUAAUCGUGGAUCAGAAUGCCACGGUGAAUACGUUCCCGGGCCUUGUACACACCGCCCGUCACACCAUGGGAGUGGGUUGCAAAAGAAGUAGGUAGCUUAACCUUCGGGAGGGCGCUUACCACUUUGUGAUUCAUGACUGGGGUGAAGUCGUAACAAGGUAGGCGUAGCGAG